GACAGAGGGUGCAAACGUUUUUCGGAAUUACUGGGCGUAAAGCGCGUGUAGGCUGCUCUGCAAGUCGGGUGUGAAAGCCCUGGGCUCAACCUAGGAAGUGCACUCGAAACUGCGGAGCUUGAGUCCUGGAGAGGAAGGCGGAAUUCUCGGUGUAGAGGUGAAAUUCGUAGAUAUCGAGAGGAACACCGGUGGCGAAGGCGGCCUUCUGGACAGUGACUGACGCUGAGACGCGAAAGCGUGGGGAGCAAACAGG
rnacentral:rRNA from 1 species